ACCCUUGUGGAGGAGGACGCCGAAGGUGGGGCUAAUGACUGGGGUGAAGUCGUAACAAGGUAGCCGUACCGGAAGGUGCGGCUGGAUCACCUCCUAACAGGGAGACAACAAAAUGUUUAAUAUUAUUAUUUUGUCACCUUAGGUCGAUCGGUAUCUCACGUUCUUAAUUUUUUAAGAAUUUUAUUUCCUAAGUUUUUCUAGGUCACACCCAUUUUUUUUCCUGGGCCAUUAGCUCAGGUGGUUAGAGCGCACCCCUGAUAAGGGUGAGGUCCCUGGUUCAAGUCCAGGAUGGCCCAUAUCUCUAUGUUGGGGGUAUAGCUCAGUUGGUAGAGCGCCUGCUUUGCAAGCAGGAUGUCAGCGGUUCGAGUCCGCUUACCUCCACUGAUUACCACCUCUUCCAUAAUCUGUAGAAAGGAAAAAUUCUGAGUUGUGAUAAUAGUUCUGAACGAAUCUAGCUUCCUAAUAAAACCAUUAAGAUGCUGGACUCAUUGAAUUAAUUUCAUUGUUUUCAGAGAACCUUGACAACUGCAUAGAUUAUUUUUAAAGACAAUAAGCAUCUUUAAUGAUGCAGAUUUAUUAUUUUUGCAAAUGCAUUAAUAACAAUUCUAUUAAGCUGAUGCUUCAAUUAUGAAGUUAUUGGUCAAGCUACAAAGGGCUCACGGAGGAUACCUAGGCACACAGAGGCGAU
rnacentral:misc_RNA from 1 species